UUUUGUAGCGCAGAGAAUCUGCAAAUAAAGAGCGGGCGGGAGCGGCGCGCCGGGAAGUGGUGGUGCGGGGGACGCCGCGGCGGUGGCUGCACCGGCACCGGCUCCGGAGCGGCGGUCCUAACACAGCUGGUCGCGGAGGUUGGUGGCAAGUGUGAGCGGUGGCGGCGUUUCGCCCUCGAUGUGACGGGUGCGGCCCAGGCGGCUAGUGUGCUGGGAGAGCGAGGCCUCCGCACCGCGGGCGGGAGAGUUCACAAUGACGAAUGAAGAACCUCUCCCAAAGAAGGUUCGCCUAAGUGAAGCAGAUUUUAAGGUUUUACCUAGAGAUGAGCUCAUCCUAAGGUGGAAACAGUAUGAAGCAUACGUGCAAGCUCUGGAGAGCAAGUACACAGACCUUAACUCUAAUGAUGUGACGGGAUUGAGAGAAUCUGAAGAGAAGCUGAAACAGCAACAGCAAGAAUCUGCCCGAAGAGAAAAUAUUCUGGUGAUGAGGCUGGCAACUAAGGAACAGGAGAUGCAAGAGUGUACUAAUCAGAUUCAGUACCUCAAGCAAGUCCAGCAGCCUAGUGUUGCCCAACUGCGAUCAACAAUGGUGGACCCAGCCAUCAACUUGUUUUUCCUAAAAAUGAAAGGUGAACUGGAACAGACUAAAGACAAACUGGAACAAGCCCAAAAUGAACUGAGUGCCUGGAAAUUUACGCCUGAUAGAGGCCUGACGGCGUCGGACUGUUCUGAAGAAAUGGCCAUCUUCGAAAAAAAAUCUUUUCUAGAACAUGUAGACAUUUGCAAAAUUGUUCUAUUUGAAGAAAAUAGAGGGAGAAACAGAAGUCUUAAGUCUGUGGCACACUGUGUCUACAGACAGUUUGGAGGAGAGAGAACCUAGAGAUUAUAAAUCAUGAAUUGAACAUGUAAAAUUCCCGUAAAAUGUAGAAGUGGAAUAUGCUUCGCUCUUAACCUUGAGCCUAGUGACUUAGAGACACUGUAAGUCAGUUUUGCCAAUAAGACUGUGGACUUCCUGCUUGUUCACUGAACUGCUGGGUCAGAACUCAAUGAGCCAAACAGGCAAAAAGUUAAUGGCGAAGUGUCGAAUGCUUAUCCAGGAGAAUCAAGAGCUUGGAAGGCAGCUGUCCCAAGGACGUAUUGCACAGCUUGAGGCAGAGUUGGCUUUACAGAAGAAAUAUAGUGAGGAACUUAAAAGCAGUCAGGAUGAAUUGAAUGACUUCAUCAUCCAGCUUGAUGAGGAGGUAGAGGGUAUGCAGAGUACCAUUCUAGUUCUUCAGCAGCAGUUGAAGGAGACUCGCCAGCAGUUGGCGCAAUACCAGCAGCAGCAGUCCCAGGCAUCCAACCCGGGUACCAGCAGGACUCCAUCUUCUGAGCCUACAGACCAGGGAGAGGCUGUAGGUAAAGACUGCAGCCGUCUGGCAAACGGACCAAGCAAUGGUAGCUCCUCCCAUCAGCGGACGUCUGGGCCUGCUUUUUAUAGGGAGGGUAGCGGCACGGAGGAUGACUUCCCAGCUUCUCCAGGGAAUGGUAAUAAGCUGUCCAACCACUCUGAAGAUAGAACUGGUAGAGGAAGUGGUAGCUACAUAAACCAACUCAGUACUGGGUAUGAAAGUGUAGACUCUCCCACUGGCAGUGAAAACUCUCUCACUCACCACUCAAAUGACACAGACUCCAAUCAUGAUCCUCAAGAGGAGAAAACAGUGAGCAUGAAAGGUAACAGAACUGUGGGUUCUCGUCAUGUCCAGAAUGGUUUGGACUCCAGUGUAAAUGCGCAGGGUUCAGUUUUGUAACAUUUUUCUGCAACAUUUUUAUACAGUGUCAUUUAAAUUGGGAGAGGAUACUGUCCAGAAGCCGUUUAAAUUAGUGCAUACUUGUCACAAUUUUGCCUUUUUGUGGGUUUCUUUUUGCUUCAAUACCUCUGCCUCUUUGGAAAUUUUAACAGUUAAUUACAUUGAAUGUUGCUAAGAGGACGUUUGUGUAGCUCAAGUUAUUUUUAUAUGAGUUAAUGUGAAGUUGAAAUGGAAAUUAUUUCCAUAAAGUAUAACAUAAAUGAUGUCUGUACAAAUCUGUGUAUAUCUAGAACCUGUGCUGUGUAAGGGCAUUCUUACUCAUACUGUUAUACUUAACACCACCUUCAAGAUUUGUCAUAAUAGCUGUGGGUUUAUGACUGCCAAGUUUGCCCAGUACAGUAGUUUUAUCACUAAAAGAUGGACUUACUAAAGGAGUCCUGUAGUAGUUUCAGUGUUAAUUACAGUUUUCCCCACCAUACAUCUGUGCAUUUUCUCCUUAGGUGACCGAAUGUUUAUGGAUUGUGUGCAUAGUUACUCAGUUUUUAAGAACUGUUGUAUCCUGUUUAUGCAUAUUGCUCUGUGACUCCAAUAUUAUCUUACCUGUACUGACCAAACCUAAAUAAAAACUUUUAAUAAUGUAA